CCUCACUCCAGAAAGUGAACAUGUGUGCUAAUUAAUGGACUCAAAUGUUUUUUUUUUGUUUUGCUGUGUGGUUUUUCUUGUUCAAACAACGCUUAAAAGACUCCCUCUUCACAAGUGUAUAAGCUCAGGAAAUAAAGCAUCCCCUGUCGGCGAACAUGCCAGUGUUUUGGAAAACUACUGACUCUAGUGGGAGGAAGUAAGUGGAAGAAGAGCAGCACCAACUCGCUCCUCAUCAUCUAUUUUCUCUCCUCCAUCUCUAUUUUUUCAAGUAUUGGAAGCCAGCGGAAGGCCAUGUCUGGAUCCUGAAAUAGGCAGACAGGGUCACAAGGUGAUGGGCGGAGGGGACUUCAGGACGAAAAGGGAAUUCCCGAACUUUUACCGGUGA